UUACAACGCGCUUCAAAUCGGUCCUAUUCACUUUUUAUUCUCUUUUAAUCUUGCCACACAUUUUAUUUUGCUUCAAUUUGGUCUUUUUGGAACAAUGCAUUUUAGAGGGCAGGGAAUAUUUCCCAUUUGGUCCCCUAUAUCAUUCGUGCUGUAGAAUGCCCAUUUCGCCCUGGCCCUUAGAACUAUUUAUAACAAAUAAAUAAAUCAAAUAAAAAGCCCAAAAUAUAUAAACCAGAAAUAAAAAUUAAAGUUCACAGUCCAUAAAUACAAACCCAAAUAUAAAUUGAGGAUAAAUUCUAAAACCCAUUUCACAAAUAAAACUUUGGCCCAAAUUAAAGUAAAUAAACCUAACCCAAAAUCCCAUUACACCCAAAACCCCAACUUAAGACCUAGCCCAAAAGAAAUACAAUGCCCCAAUGGUCCAAUAUCAAAAUUGGCGUAAAUGGCCCAGGCAAGUUGAUGUUUCUAGAAACCCUAGGUCCCCCCAUACUGCAGCUCCCACGAAUGACCUUGCCACGUCCGCAGCCCUCUCCGUACGAUGCCGAACCUACGAGAAGAAAUCAAAUAACAACAAUACAGUAAAUAACAACAAGAAAAAUAACAAUAAAAUAGAGGGGAAAAUAAAAAAUUUGUAAUUUCUAUUUUUUUUUAUAUUAUUGCGGCUAUAUAAGGCCAAUUGUAAACAAAAUAUUUUUUUUACACACGCAUAUUGGAAUUCAAAGAAAUCAAAUCAACUUGGCAAAAGGUUGCGUUUAUUUUUUUUUAAUUUAUCUUACUUUCAUUGAUUUUGAGUGUGGUCUUGCUUGGUGAUAGCAAAAAUAAAAGGGUGUUGAAACCCUUUCGUUUUCAGAGAUCUCUCAUUCUUAUUUUCAAAAGCAAAGCAGGAUUUAAAUUCGUUUUCGUCUAGUUUUUUUUUAUUUUUUUCUUCUUUUUUCUUCUUUCACUUUUGUAAACAUAUGAAAAUAGAGAAGAGAAUGAGAGAGAGCACGCUUACCAAACCUUCAUGUUCAUAGUUGGAGUUCUCCUCCGUUGGCAGAUUCGGGCCAUUGUUUGCGUACUGUCAGCCACCGGAUAUGGUGGUGGUCCGGCCGCAGCAUGAUAUUUGGAUGAAACCCUAGCUGAAAGGGUUAAGAACUUUGGGGUUUUCUAAAAGGGAUUUGUAAUGUUUAAAAAAAAAGAAAUAAUAUGAAGGUUUAAGAGCAAAAUUUGAAAUGGCACCGUUUAAAGGGGGAAGGGGUCCGCGGGUUGACCCAAUCCAUAGGCAGGAUCCGCGCCUUUUCGCUUCAAAUGGGUAAUCUGUG
rnacentral:lncRNA from 1 species